UGGGGAAUUUUGGACAAUGGGGGAAACCCUGAUCCAGCCAUCCCGCGUGUGCGAUGAAGGCCUUCGGGUUGUAAAGCACUUUUGGCAGGAAAGAAACGUCGCGGGUUAAUACCCCGCNAAACUGACGGUACCUGCAGAAUAAGCACCGGCUAACUACGUGCCAGCAGCCGCGGUAAUACGUAGGGUGCAAGCGUUAAUCGGAAUUACUGGGCGUAAAGCGUGCGCAGGCGGUUCGGAAAGAAAGAUGUGAAAUCCCAGAGCUUAACUUUGGAACUGCAUUUUUAACUACCGGGCUAGAGUGUGUCAGAGGGAGGUGGAAUUCCGCGUGUAGCAGUGAAAUGCGUAGAUAUGCGGAGGAACACCGAUGGCGAAGGCAGCCUCCUGGGAUAACACUGACGCUCAUGCACGAAAGCGUGGGGAGCAAACAGGAUUAGAUACCCUGGUAGUCCACGCCCUAAACGAUGUCAACUAGCUGUU
rnacentral:rRNA from 1 species